rnacentral:rRNA from 1 species
CGAAAGCCUGACGGAGCAAUACCGCGUGAGGGAUGACAGCCUGUGGGUUGUAAACCUCUUUUCUCAAGGAAGAAGUUCUGACGGUACCUGAGGAAUCAGCCUCGGCUAACUCCGUGCCAGCAGCCGCGGUAAUACGGAGGAGGCAAGCGUUAUCCGGAAUUAUUGGGCGUAAAGCGUCCGCAGGUGGCGAUUCAAGUCUGCUGUCAAAGCACGGGGCUUAACUCCGUAAAGGCAGUGGAAACGGAAUAGCUAGAGUGCCGUAGGGGUAGAGGGAAUUCCCGGUGUAGCGGUGAAAUGCGUAGAGAUCGGGAAGAACAUCGGUGGCGAAAGCGCUCUGCUGGGCCGCAACUGACACUCAGGGACGAAAGCUAGGGGAGCG